rnacentral:rRNA from 1 species
UACGAAGGGGGCUAGCGUUGCUCGGAAUUACUGGGCGUAAAGGGCGCGUAGGCGGAUAGUUUAGUCAGAGGUAAAAGCCCAGGGCUCAACCUUGGAACUGCCUUUGAUACUGGCUAUCUUGAGUUUGGGAGAGGUGAGUGGAAUGCCGAGUGUAGAGGUGAAAUUCGUAGAUAUUCGGCGGAACACCAGUGGCGAAGGCGACUCACUGGCCCGAUACUGACGCUGAGGCGCGAAAGCGUGGGGAGCAAACAGGG